rnacentral:rRNA from 1 species
AUUGAACGCUGGCGGCAUGCCUUACACAUGCAAGUCGAACGGUAACGGGCCUUCGGGUGCCGACGAGUGGCGAACGGGUGAGUAAUACAUCGGAACGUGCCCGAUCGUGGGGGAUAACGGGGCGAAAGCUUUGCUAAUACCGCAUACGAUCUACGGAUUAAAGCAGGGGACCGCAAGGCCUUGCUCGGACGGAUCGGCCGAUGGCAGAUUAGGUAGUUGGUGGGAUAAAAGCUUACCAAGCCGACGAUCUGUAGCUGGUCUGAGAGGAUGAUCAGCCACACUGGGACUGAGACACGGCCCAGACUCCUACGGGAGGCAGCAGUGGGGAAUUUUGGACAAUGGGCGAAAGCCUGAUCCAGCCAUGCCGCGUGAAGGAUGAAGGCCUUCGGGUUGUAAACUGCUUUUGUACGGAACGAAAAGCCUUCUUUUAAUACAGGAGGGUCAUGACGGUACCGUAAGAAUAAGCACCGGCUAACUACGUG